rnacentral:rRNA from 1 species
UACGUAGGGGGCAAGCGUUGUCCGGAAUCAUUGGGCGUAAAGCGCGCGUAGGCGGUCCGGUAAGUCUGCUGUGAAAGUCGGGGGCUCAACCCUCGGAUGCCGGUGGAUACUGUCGGGCUUGAGUGCGGAAGAGGCGAGUGGAAUUCCUGGUGUAGCGGUGAAAUGCGCAGAUAUCAGGAAGAACACCCGUGGCGAAGGCGGCUCUCUGGGACGGUACUGACGCUGAGACGCGAAAGCGUGGGGAGCGAACAGG